UGGGGAAUCUUGCGCAAUGGGGGAAACCCUGACGCAGCGACGCCGCGUGCGGGAUGAAGGCCUUCGGGUUGUAAACCGCUUUCAGCAGGGACGAGGCCUUACGGUGACGGUACCUGCAGAAGAAGCUCCGGCUAAAUACGUGCCAGCAGCCGCGGUAAUACGUAUGGAGCAAGCGUUAUCCGGAUUCAUUGGGCGUAAAGCGCUCGUAGGCGGUCUGUUAGGUCGGCAAGUUAAAUCCGGGGGCUCAACCCCCGUCCGCUUCCGAUACCGGCAGACUUGAGUUUGGUAGGAGAAGGUGGAAUUCCUAGUGUAGCGGUGGAAUGCGCAGAUAUUAGGAAGAACACCGGUGGCGAAGGCGGCCUUCUGGGCCAUAACUGACGCUGAGGAGCGAAAGCUAGGGGAGCGAACAGG
rnacentral:rRNA from 1 species